CACGUAGGCGGACCGUUAAGUCGGGGGUGAAAUCCUGGGGCUCAACCUCAGAAUUGCCUUCGAUACUGGCGGUCUUGAGUACGGGAGAGAUGAGUGGAAUUCCCAGUGUAGAGGUGAAAUUCGUAGAUAUUGGGAAGAACACCAGUGGCGAAGGCGGCUCACUGGCCCGUAACUGACGCUGAGGUGCGAAAGCGUGGGGAGCAAACA
rnacentral:rRNA from 1 species